CAGGGAUGCCAAAGCAUUUUACAGAUGCAGAGAUUGAGUAUUGACAUGCACAUGUCAGAAGGAAAGCUCACUGCGUAGUGAUAGCACAGAGCUUUGGAAAUGCAGAAGUACAACUACAGAUGGGCUUGACUACCAUAUUCUCUGAAAAACCAUACAGCAGUACUGCAUAGCAGCUCAGGUCGGGAAGUGUGGGAUACUUUACUCAGCUGAAAAUAUAGAUUCCAAAAUUAGAUCAAGUCACAUUUCCUCAUGGAACUUCUGGUGCAAGGAAGCAUUGAGCUUUUGCAGCCCCUAGUCUGAAGUUGCCUGCUCCAGUAGAUGACCUGCGCUGUCAUGCACGCUAUCCAAAACAAUUGAACAAUGGCAAACUUUGAAAGUUAAUGCAUGUCCUGAUUAUUGUCCUGUCCCCCUCAGCUUGUGCAUUCUGACUCUUGCUUGAUGUCGCUGAGUCCUAUUUAUUGAAAAUACCAUUUAAUCCAUGACUUGUCUGCUGCAUUCUUGUUUGACCUGUUAAGCCAAAAAAAUUAUUUUAAGAAUGGACUUGUCAAAGAGCGAAUCUCCUCCCUUCAAAGACCUCUGAGGAUGAAUAUUUGAUUAAAAUGUGACUGCAGCAUUAAAA